AAAUUGAAGAGUUUGAUCAUGGCUCAGAUUGAACGCUGGCGGCAGGCCUAACACAUGCAAGUCGAGCGGUAGCACAGAGAGCUUGCUCUCGGGUGACGAGCGGCGGACGGGUGAGUAAUGUCUGGGAAACUGCCUGAUGGAGGGGGAUAACUACUGGAAACGGUAGCUAAUACCGCAUAAUGUCGCAAGACCAAAGUGGGGGACCUUCGGGCCUCAUGCCAUCAGAUGUGCCCAGAUGGGAUUAGCUAGUAGGUGGGGUAACGGCUCACCUAGGCGACGAUCCCUAGCUGGUCUGAGAGGAUGACCAGCCACACUGGAACUGAGACACGGUCCAGACUCCUACGGGAGGCAGCAGUGGGGAAUAUUGCACAAUGGGCGCAAGCCUGAUGCAGCCAUGCCGCGUGUGUGAAGAAGGCCUUCGGGUUGUAAAGCACUUUCAGCGGGGAGGAAGGCGUUAAGGUUAAUAACCUUGGCGAUUGACGUUACCCGCAGAAGAAGCACCGGCUAACUCCGUGCCAGCAGCCGCGGUAAUACGGAGGGUGCAAGCGUUAAUCGGAAUUACUGGGCGUAAAGCGCACGCAGGCGGUCUGUCAAGUCGGAUGUGAAAUCCCCGGGCUCAACCUGGGAACUGCAUUCGAAACUGGCAGGCUAGAGUCUUGUAGAGGGGGGUAGAAUUCCAGGUGUAGCGGUGAAAUGCGUAGAGAUCUGGAGGAAUACCGGUGGCGAAGGCGGCCCCCUGGACAAAGACUGACGCUCAGGUGCGAAAGCGUGGGGAGCAAACAGGAUUAGAUACCCUGGUAGUCCACGCCGUAAACGAUGUCGAUUUGGAGGUUGUGCCCUUGAGGCGUGGCUUCCGGAGCUAACGCGUUAAAUCGACCGCCUGGGGAGUACGGCCGCAAGGUUAAAACUCAAAUGAAUUGACGGGGGCCCGCACAAGCGGUGGAGCAUGUGGUUUAAUUCGAUGCAACGCGAAGAACCUUACCUGGUCUUGACAUCCACAGAACUUUCCAGAGAUGGAUUGGUGCCUUCGGGAACUGUGAGACAGGUGCUGCAUGGCUGUCGUCAGCUCGUGUUGUGAAAUGUUGGGUUAAGUCCCGCAACGAGCGCAACCCUUAUCCUUUGUUGCCAGCGGUUAGGCCGGGAACUCAAAGGAGACUGCCAGUGAUAAACUGGAGGAAGGUGGGGAUGACGUCAAGUCAUCAUGGCCCUUACGACCAGGGCUACACACGUGCUACAAUGGCAUAUACAAAGAGAAGCGACCUCGCGAGAGCAAGCGGACCUCAUAAAGUAUGUCGUAGUCCGGAUUGGAGUCUGCAACUCGACUCCAUGAAGUCGGAAUCGCUAGUAAUCGUAGAUCAGAAUGCUACGGUGAAUACGUUCCCGGGCCUUGUACACACCGCCCGUCACACCAUGGGAGUGGGUUGCAAAAGAAGUAGGUAGCUUAACCUUCGGGAGGGCGCUUACCACUUUGUGAUUCAUGACUGGGGUGAAGUCGUAACAAGGUAACCGUAGGGGAACCUGCGG
rnacentral:rRNA from 1 species